CCUACGGGAGGCAGCAGUAGGGAAUCUUCCACAAUGGGCGAAAGCCUGAUGGAGCAACGCCGCGUGGGUGAAGAAGGUCUUCGGAUCGUAAAACCCUGUUGUUAGAGAAGAAAGUGCGUGAGAGUAACUGUUCACGUUUCGACGGUAUCUAACCAGAAAGCCACGGCUAACUACGUGCCAGCAGCCGCGGUAAUACGUAGGUGGCAAGCGUUAUCCGGAUUUAUUGGGCGUAAAGGGAACGCAGGCGGUCUUUUAAGUCUGAUGUGAAAGCCUUCGGCUUAACCGGGGUAGUGCAUUGGAAACUGGGAGACUGGAGGGCAGAAGAGGAGAGUGGAACUCCAUGGGUAGCGGUGAAAUGCGUAGAUAUAUGGAAGAACACCAGGGGCGAAAGCGGCUCUCUGGUCUGUAACUGACGCUGAGGUUCGAAAGCGUGGGUAGCAAACAGGAUUAGAUACCCUGGUAGUC
rnacentral:rRNA from 1 species